rnacentral:rRNA from 1 species
ACGGGAGGCAGCAGUGGGGAAUAUUGGACAAUGGGGGCAACCCUGAUCCAGCGACGCCGCGUGAGUGGAGAAGUAUUUCGGUAUGUAAAGCUCUAUCAGCAGGGACGAUAAUGACGGUACCUGACUAAGAAGCCCCGGCUAACUACGUGCCAGCAGCCGUGGUAAUACGUAGGGGGCAAGCGUUAUCCGGAUUUACUGGGUGUAAAGGGAGUGUAGGUGGCUAUGUAAGUCAGAUGUGAAAACCCGGGGCUCAACCCCGUGACUGCAUUUGAAACUGCGUAACUAGAGUGCAGGAGAGGUAAGUGGAAUUCCUAGUGUAGCGGUGAAAUGCGUAGAUAUUAGGAGGAACACCAGUGGCGAAGGCGGCUUACUGGACUGUAACUGACACUGAGGCUCGAAAGCGUGGGGAGCAAACAGGAUUAGAUACCCUGGUA